rnacentral:rRNA from 1 species
GACGAACGCUGGCGGCGUGCUUAACACAUGCGAGUCGAACGGAAAGGCCCUGCUUUUGUGGGGUGCUCGAGUGGCGAACGGGUGAGUAACACGUGAGUAACCUGCCCUUGACUUUGGGAUAACUUCAGGAAACUGGGGCUAAUACCGGAUAGGAGCUCCUGCUGCAUGGUGGGGGUUGGAAAGUUUCGGCGGUUGGGAAUGGACUCGCGGCUUAUCAGCUUGUUGGUGGGGUAGUGGCUUACCAAGGCUUUGACGGGUAGCCGGCCUGAGAGGGUGACCGGCCACAUUGGGACUGAGAUACGGCCCAGACUCCUACGGGAGGCAGCAGUGGGGAAUAUUGCACAAUGGGCGGAAGCCUGAUGCAGCAACGCCGCGUGCGGGAUGACGGCCUUCGGGUUGUAAACCGCUUUCGCCUGUGACGAAGCGUGAGUGACGGUAAUGGGUAAAGAAGCACCGGCUAACUACGUG